UACCAACAACAGUCCAACUCCAUUGCCCCAACCUGCCGACCCGGUUUCAACCCAUUAACUUGCUUAUGGUCAUCUUUUCAUCCUAACCAUCUCUAUUGUCUAAUCCAAUGGUUCCAUUCCCCUUAAUCAUAAUACACAUGUUGAACUAACCUAGAGGAGCUAGCCUUAAGCAUCAACCGUAUAGACCUAGGCCCCGGGCCGUUUCUCUUCUUCUUCAUUCAAACAAAGACAACCCUAGAGACCUAAGCAGCCGCCGUCUGACCCUAUUACCGCACCCCUCAGCCAUCUUCUCAUCAACCAAAGAGCACACCUUCACUAACUUAGACCUCUCUUCUUCUCCACCCAUUUCCUUCACACCAAACGUCCACUAGCUCUCAUCUCUCACACACAAGAACAAACCAGAUGCUGGUGCUUCUUCAUCUCCUAACCAAGACCUUUCAGCACCUGAAAAAUGCGAGGAUACCACCCCAUCCUCAUUGGAGAGCACCGCUGGACCUCCUCACGACCUUCUAGCAACCACACCACCCUCAAAAACCAUUCCAACGCCCAGCCUUGACCCAGGACGAAACCAGAUCUGGCUAGACUUGUCUUCUUUUGUUACCUUUUGAGCCUUGCUUCCCAUUAGCGCUUUUUUGGUGUUACUCGUUAUGGUUAGUGAUGCCGAAUUUGUGCGCAUCUAGACAGACAGAUCAUUGGAUUUUCUCUAAAUUUUCAAGAACACCCACAAGAACACAGGAAAAAACAAACAAAAUCAGAGAGAAAAAGGAGUAUUUGAAAGCUAUCCGAACUUCCACUCUUCUACUUAAGUUUUUCUGAAAUUCGAGUGACAUUUAAGCUGUAGAAGUGUUGGUUCAAUUGCGGAAACCACUGCUACACGUUUUUGGGUUCGUCAUGGCUGAGAUGCGGUCGAUAUCGAGGUUGUUUUGCUGAGGUCCCCGUCGGGUAUGCCCGCAUUUUAGUUUCAUCGACCUGCGUUUCUUUUUAAACGGGCAGCAGGUUCAUUGAAAAAUUGAAUGUAGUUUAGGUCGUUGUCUUUCUCCUAUUCCUUGCUUGUUUCUUUCAUUGACUGUCUUAAUCGAUUUUGUGUAAUUAUUUGAUGGCAUGACAUUUUGUUACAUUUUAUUGAGCUUGGAUCUCUGAAUCUUAUUAUUCCUUUGUUUCACGUGAUUAUGGUUUGGAGUUUGUUG
rnacentral:lncRNA from 1 species